UACAGAGACCUCAAGCGUUAUCCGGAAUCAUUGGGCGUAAAGCGUACCGAUAGGUGGUUUUACAAGUCAGAGGUGAAAUCUCAGGGCUCAACUUUGAGACUGUCCUUUGAAACUGUACAACUAGAGGGGCAAAGAGGAAGCUGGAACGAACGGUGUAGUAGUGAAAUGCGUUGAUAUCGUUCGGAACACCAAAAGCGUAGGCAGGCUUCUGGGUGCCACCUGACACUGCUAGGACGAAAGCGUGGGGAGCGAAUGGG
rnacentral:rRNA from 1 species